rnacentral:rRNA from 1 species
UACGUAGGGGGCAAGCGUUGUCCGGAAUCAUUGGGCGUAAAGAGCGUGUAGGCGGUUCGGUAAGUCGGCUGUGAAAGUCAAGGGCUCAACCCUUGAAUGCCGGCCGAUACUGUCAGGCUAGAAUCCGGAAGAGGCGAGUGGAAUUCCUGGUGUAGCGGUGAAAUGCGCAGAUAUCAGGAGGAACACCUAUGGCGAAGGCAGCUCGCUGGGACGGUAUUGACGCUGAGACGCGAAAGCGUGGGGAGCGAACAGG